rnacentral:rRNA from 1 species
UACGGGGGGAGCAAGCGUUGUUCGGAUUUACUGGGCGUAAAGGGCGCGUAGGCGGCUCGGCACGUCCGUUGUGAAAUCGCCCGGCUCAACUGGGCGGGGUCAGCGGAUACGGUCGAGCUUGAGCAAGCUAGGGGGCAAUGGAAUUCCCGGUGUAGUGGUGGAAUGCGUAGAUAUCGGGAGGAACACCAGUGGCGAAGGCGGUUGCCUGGAGCUUUGCUGACGCUGAGGCGCGAAAGCGUGGGGAGCGAUCCGG